GGGGCACGGCCCAUCAGGUAGUUGGCGGGUUAAAGGCCCGCCAAGCCGAAGACGGGUAGGGGCGGUGAGAGCCGCGAGCCCCGAGAUCGGCACUGAGACAAGGGCCGAGGCCCUACGGGGUGCAGCAGGCGCGAAUACUCCGCAAUGCGGGCAACCGCGACGGGGCUACCCCGAGUACCGGGCGAAGAGCCCGGCUUUUGCCCGGUCUAAAAAGCCGGGAGAAUAAGCGGGGGGCAAGUCUGGUGUCAGCCGCCGCGGUAAUACCAGCUCCGCGAGUGGUCGGGGUGUUUACUGGGCUUAAAGCGCCCGUAGCCGGCCCGGCAAGUCGCUCCUGAAAUCCCCGGGCUCAACCCGGGGGCGGGGGGCGAUACUGCCGGGCUAGGGGGCGGGAGAGGCCGCCGGUACUCCGGGGGUAGGGGCGAAAUCCGUUAAUCCCCGGAGGACCACCAGUGGCGAAAGCGGGCGGCCAGAACGCGCCCGACGGUGAGGGGCGAAAGCCGGGGGAGCAAAGGGGAUUAGAUACCCCUGUAGUCCCGGCCGUAAACGAUGCGGGCUAGCUGUCGGCCGGGCUUAGGGCCCGGCCGGUGGCGAAGGGAAACCGUUAAGCCCGCCGCCUGGGGAGUACGGCCGCAAGGCUGAAACUUAAAGGAAUUGGCGGGGGGGCACCACAAGGGGUGAAGCUUGCGGCUUAAUUGGAGUCAACGCCGGG
rnacentral:rRNA from 1 species